ensembl:lncRNA
AUAUAAAACUGAGCGGAAGAUCCAGGAGGUAGGUAUUUAUGUAUGUAUAUGUCAAGUGUCUCACUUUUGUGAGGUUCAAACUGCAGCUCCCCACUUGAAAGGGCAACUUGCUAAGAAGUGUAGACUGGAUUCCACUCAAUGACCAAGAUUCGGACUUCUUUGCUUUCUUGCGUUUUAUUUUUAAAAUUGUCCAGGUCAAACCAGGUGAAAAACCUUGAAAUACAAACACGAAUGGAAGGUCAAAGAAAUAUAACCCAAGAAACCAUAAUCAAUUCACAUACCCAACAUCACAUACUUAAUUUAUAAUCUACAGGAUAUUAACCUCAAAAUAAGUAGAAAGACAACCCAAAUUUAAAGUAUCCCAAGACUAAAUUAAAUACAUUUUUAAAACACUAUUUAAUGAUGAUUUUAACCUUAUAAACUUUAGCAGCUUUUAACUACGGUGAAUACACACAAAUCAAUUUUUAUCCAAUUACUUUUAGCUUGAAUACUUUUUAAAACACACAUUAAAUAUAUGGACAUUUGAUCUUGCAUUUGAUGCGAUAACUAGUCAACCACUCAAAAGCUCACCGGCUCCUUCUUCUGUCUUUGCAAGCUUUAUUCCUGCAGUCUCCUCUUUCCAAGCUCUUCAAUAUCGCUUUCUCACACUGCUCGCUCUUCACUGUCCUGUGAGUGAGUGCCUCCAACCCCCCUGAUCUCCAGAUCAUCUCCACCUGGUGUCACGGUGUGGUUCACUUCCUGUCGUAUUUUGUAGUUUUCUGCCACUCGUGUCCCCGGGUAACUUCACUUCCUGCCUUGUCCUGUCUGAGUUUGAGGGAGAGGUGCCACGGCUGUUAACGUACCGGGAGUUUAAGGGAGAGGUGCCACGGCUGUUAACGUACCGGGAGUUUAAGGGAGAGGUGCCACGGCUGUUAACGUACCGGGAGUUUAAGGGAGAGGUGCCACGGCUGUUAACGUACCGGGAGUUUAAGGGAGAGGUGCCACGGCUGUUAACGUACCGGGAGUUUAAGCGAGAGGUGCCACGGCUGUUAAUAGACGUACCGGGAGUUUAAGGGAGAGGUGCCACGGCUUUUAACGUACCGGGAGUUUAAGAAAAUCACAGCAGCAUGUACAGGGAAGAAAAUAGAAUUAAAAGAUACACAUUAUAUACAAUAUAAUAAGAUAGAAAUAUUAAAUUAAAUAAACUGAAACAAAAGAAUAACCUUCCAAAAGAUGUAUUAAUAAUAAUAAUUUGUAAAAGGAGAAGAGGAAAGAGCAGCAACAUCACAACAGUACGGGGUUAUAAUUGUCAUUAUUUAGCCAGGGAUGAUUUAUUGUAAAGUGUUAUUGCACUGGGCAGGAAUAAUAAUAACAGUUAAUAGUUAAUAAUAACUACCAACACUAGUACUUUUAAAGGCAGUAUUGUAUUGUCACAUAUUGGCAAAUUAUAAAACAAACAUGUCACAUAUUUGGGAAAUAAAACGGCAACUGUCUGGCGCAAAGUCGAGGCAGCUGUCGUAAAAACGGCAACCGCCGAGGCACCACUGCGGCAAAGUCGAGGUAGCUGUCGUGAAGCCGUGGCAACUGCCUCGAAGUCGUGGCAACUGCCUCGUGAAAUCGUGGCAACUGCCGCAGUGUCGAGGCACUUGCCACGAUUCGCCGCGGCACCGCAACCUGCAACAGGAAGUGCCUCGGCGGGUUGCCCCUGCCACGAUUUGCGCUAGCUCCUACUGUGUUUUCUUGGCACACUUUAGGCCCCUUAGUGCCAAUUGGGCAUCGUUUAAAUGCCACCGUCUAUCUGAGCAUUGUUUCUGACCAUGUCCGGCCCUUUAUGGCCACCAUGUACCCAUUCUCCGAUGGCUAGAAUUAAGGCAGUUCUGAAGGCGAAAGGGGCUCAAACACAGUAUUAGUAUGGUAUUCUGUCACGGUGUGGUGUUGUAUUUUGUAAUUUUCUGCCACUCGUGUCCCCGGGUAACUUUACUUCCUGCCUUGUCAUGUCAUCCCCUGUGAUCGUCUAAUAGUUUCCACCUGCGUCCAAUCACCUGCACCUCCCUUGUGUAUUUAAGGCGUGUGUUUCUUGUGUCACUUGUCGUGUCAUUGUCUAUCGUCGUGGAUGUUCAUAGUUUCAUGCCUGCUGUUUUUCCCCUGGUUCCUGUGUAUUUUUGCCCCUUGGCCUUUUGAUUUUGCCUUUUGACAAUUAAAGUCUUUUGUUUCCUGAGAAGUCUGCAUUUGAGUCCUGCCUCCUCCACCCACUUCCCCUGACAGAAUGACGCGACCAAAGAAGAGCUCAGCAGACCCGCUGCCAGAUUACGGACCUGAGUACUUGGACGUAAGAAGUCCCUUCUGGCGGCGGAAGACCAACUUCAUCUUUGGUCCCAGGGGCUAUCAGCUCGCCUGCCUCGAGCUCCGGGAUCUUCUAAAUCCCAGGAGGAGCCCUGGCCAGAGGAAGCACAGACUUCCCGCUGGGCCGCCGCAGUGCUCUCUCGUUCCUGCUGGGCCGCCGCAGCAAUCUCCCGUUCCCGCAGCGAUCUCCCGACGACUACUGCGGACGUGUCCCCGAGCCGACGACUACUGCGGACGUGUCCCCGAGCCGACGACUACUGCGGACGUGUCCCCGAGCCGACGACUACUGCGGACGUGUCCCCGAGCCGGAGCCGCCGCCGACUACUGCGGACGUGUUCCGUGUGCCCGAGCUACUGCCGACUACCCCGGAGGUUUCCCGUGUCUCCGAGCCGCCGCCGCCGACCGUUUCAUGAUAGAAACCAACAGUCAAGAUGGAGAAAAGUUUUUUUUAAUUCUUCCCGGAGGGCUCUAAAUAAUCAAUUUGUUUUAAAAUGAAUAGUGGUAUGUACUGUAUUUGUAAUUCAGUGUCCAACCCCUAGUUUAAUUGAACGAUUGAAAUAUUCUAGAUAUAUUUUUUCCUGCAGAUCCUUUAGCGGUAUCCCUUUAUUGAAGGUGUUUGAUUGUAAUAGUUCAGGAAAAUCUGUAAAAUAACAGUGUUUCACUGCAAAACUUUUUGUAAUAUCACUUUUUUUAAAGGUGUUUGAUCAUGAAAAAACAGGAAGAAUCUGUCAAAUUAAAGUGUUUUACUGCAGAACAUUUUGCAGUGAAAUAACAUAUUUUGGCCUCUGAAUGUUUUGUGUUAUCACUUUAUUGAAGGUGUUUGAUUGUAAUAAUACAUGAAUGUGUAAAAUAAGCGUGUCACUGCAGAACAUCUAGUGAUAUCACUUUAUUGAAGGUAUUUGAUCGUAAUGAUAUGGGCAGGGUUCAUACACAUUUUGACCAGUGGAUUUCCAUGACUUUAAACAAAAUUUCCAUGACCAAAUAAGUGUGAAAUCUCAGUGUAUACCUGAAAAAGUGAGAC